UGAUCAUAGUUUUCGAUGAAGCCACCAACGUACCACAGAGCAUUUUCUUUAUCGGGAGACAAGUGAGACAUUUUGUCAACAAUGUACGGAGAGCUUUUUGUAGGAUAGACUUCAAUCCAAUGACAUGACCAAAAAUUGCUAUAUUCAGAUGAUGAUGUAAAUUGUGAGAA